rnacentral:rRNA from 1 species
UACAGAGGGUGCAAGCGUUGUUCGGAAUUAUUGGGCGUAAAGCGCGUGUAGGCGGCUUGGCAAGUCAGAUGUGAAAGCCCUCGGCUUAACCGAGGAAGUGCGUCUGAAACUGCUGAGCUUGAGUCUCGGAGAGGAUGGCGGAAUUCCGCAAGAGAGGUGAAAUUCGUAGAUAUGCGGAGGAACACCGGUGGCGAAGGCGGCCAUCUGGACGAGUACUGACGCUGAGACGCGAAAGCGUGGGGAGCAACAGG